rnacentral:rRNA from 1 species
CGAGAAAGGGAGCAAUCCUAAGUAAAGUGGCGCACGGGUGAGUAACACGUGGGUAACGUACCCUCGGGUGGGGAAUAACGAACCGAAAGGUUCGCUAAUACCGCAUGAGACCACGUCCUUUGAGGAGGAUGAGGCCAAAGGAGGCUACCGUAGGGUAGUUUCCGCCUGAGGAUCGGCUCGCGGACCAUUAGCUAGUAGGCGGGGUAAUGGCCCACCUAGGCUACGAUGGUUAGCUGGUCUGAGAGGACGACCAGCCACACUGGAACUGACACACGGUCCAGACUCCUACGGGAGGCAGCAGUGGGGAAUUUUGGACAAUGGGCGAAAGCCUGAUCCAGCCAUACCGCGUGAGUGAAGAAGGCCUUCGGGUUGUAAAGCUCUUUCAGCCGGAAAGAAAUCGCACUUCUUAAUACGAAGUGUGGAUGACGGUACCGGAAGAAGAAGCACCGGCUAACUACGUG